GGGAGUGAAAGGCUUCGACAGUUAGAUGUUUUUAUUCUAGUUGCAUGCCAAGUACGCAGGAAUCUUGUUAAACUUCUUGCACAACUCAAACGCAGCUAAAACUGCUGUAAAGUCACCUUUCGGUAACUUUGCACUAUCUUUCGCUUAAAGCGAAACAUCCAGUACAUUUGAUGUAUGAUAAAAUGUGCGGGUGUAAAAAAAUCAUACUUGGUCAGGUAGCGGUGACGGUCUACCCUCGACAAUUAGUCUCGUAAUACAUAGGUGCGUUGCUUGUAGACACGUAUUAUCAAAUGAAUAGGCAACUAAGCACGUAGACGCUAAAUAAAAACCUUUCUGGACGGGGGUUCGAGUCCCCCCACUUCCACAC
rnacentral:tmRNA from 1 species